rnacentral:rRNA from 1 species
UACGUAGGGGGCAAGCGUUGUCCGGAUUUAUUGGGCGUAAAGAGCGUGUAGGCGGCCAGACAGGUCCGCUGUGAAAACUCGAGGCUCAACCUCGAGAUGUCGGUGGAAACCGUCUGGCUAGAGUCCGGAAGAGGAGAGUGGAAUCCCCGGUGUAGCGGUGAAAUGCGCAGAUAUCGGGAAGAACACCCGUGGCGAAGGCGGCUCUCUGGGACGGUACUGACGCUGAGACGCGAAAGCGUGGGGAGCGAACAGG